CUCUUGGUGGUCCAGUGGUUAGGACUUGGCGCUUUCAUUGCUGGGGCCCAGGUUCAAUCCCCGGUCAGGGAA
rfam:TPA: Bos taurus chromosome 19, whole genome shotgun sequence.